AUUGAACGCUGGCGGCAUGCUUUACACAUGCAAGUCGAACGGUAACAGGCCGCAAGGUGCUGACGAGUGGCGAACGGGUGAGUAAUGCAUCGGAACGUGCCCAGUCGUGGGGGAUAACUGCUCGAAAGAGCAGCUAAUACCGCAUACGAUCUAUGGAUGAAAGCGGGGGACCGUAAGGCCUCGCGCGAUUGGAGCGGCCGAUGUCAGAUUAGGUAGUUGGUGGGGUAAAGGCUCACCAAGCCAACGAUCUGUAGCUGGUCUGAGAGGACGACCAGCCACACUGGGACUGAGACACGGCCCAGACUCCUACGGGAGGCAGCAGUGGGGAAUUUUGGACAAUGGGGGCAACCCUGAUCCAGCAAUGCCGCGUGCAGGAAGAAGGCCUUCGGGUUGUAAACUGCUUUUGUACGGAACGAAACGGUCUGGGUUAAUACCCUGGGCUAAUGACGGUACCGUAAGAACAAGCACCGGCUAACUACGUGCCAGCAGCCGCGGUAAAAC
rnacentral:rRNA from 1 species